rnacentral:rRNA from 1 species
CAGUAGCCACGGGAAUACGAAGGGGGCUAGCGUUGUUCGGAAUCACUGGGCGUAAAGCGCACGUAGGCGGACUUUUAAGUCAGGGGUGAAAUCCCAAGGCUCAACCUUGGAACUGCCUUUGAUACUGGAAGUCUUGAGUUCGGGAGAGGUGAGUGGAACUGCGAGUGUAUAGGUGAAAUUCGUAGAUAUUCGCAAGAACACCAGUGGCGAAGGCGGCUCACUGGCCCGAUACUGACGCUGAGGUGCGAAAGCGUGGGGAGCAAACAGGAUUAGAUACCCCAGUAGUCCCUGUCUCUUAUAA